UAUGUAUAUAUAAUAGUUAAAUAAAUGUAUAUACUUGUAUAAUAUUAUGUGUAGCCUUGUGACAUUAUCACGAUGGUAACUUGUGUACGAGUGAUUCACCCCUUACAACAGUUAGUGCAGGAUUCUAAGACCUCAUGUUGAAGUUCAUUAAGAAACGGAAAACGUGAUUGUGAGAGACAUUAAUUAUAAUACAAGGACCGUUAGUGUUGAUUAGUGAUCUAGUUUAUUUUUGGAGUCCGAAGAGAAAGAUCUCUUUGAUAUGUAUUGAUGACGUCAUUGGACUGGAUGACAGGCAUCUGUGGUGUUUGAUCAGCUCGUGAUUAUUUGUUGGUUAGAGUCUUUUGUAGGAAAUUAUCUUUUAUUAUUUCUUAUUGAAAAAUUGUACGAUACUUAUGUGAAAUGGAAAUGUUUUAGAUUUGAAAAUCCUUUGAGCAAAAUUACUAGAUGAUUGUUUGAUAUAAGUGAUGCAUAUUAUUUAUGGGNNNNNNNNNUUUCUCACUUAUUACUUUCUUUUUACCAAAAAUAAAUCAGCAUGAUUUUAUUUGCUUGUAUUUAAGCAUUUAAAUUUGGGUAGAGAACUGUGACGCUCUUCUUUUCAGUCUCUGAAAAGG
rnacentral:lncRNA from 1 species